GACGAACGCUGGCGGCGUGCCUAAUACAUGCAAGUCGAACGCACUCUCGUUUAGAUUGAAGGAGCUUGCUCCUGAUUGAUAAACAUUUGAGUGAGUGGCGGACGGGUGAGUAACACGUGGGUAACCUGCCCUAAAGUGGGGGAUAACAUUUGGAAACAGAUGCUAAUACCGCAUAAAACCUAACACCGCAUGGUGUAGGGUUGAAAGAUGGUUUCGGCUAUCACUUUAGGAUGGACCCGCGGUGCAUUAGUUAGUUGGUGAGGUAAAGGCUCACCAAGACCGUGAUGCAUAGCCGACCUGAGAGGGUAAUCGGCCACACUGGGACUGAGACACGGCCCAGACUCCUACGGGAGGCAGCAGUAGGGAAUCUUCCACAAUGGACGAAAGUCUGAUGGAGCAACGCCGCGUGAGUGAAGAAGGUUUCGGAUCGUAAACUCUGUUGUUGGUAGAGAAUGUAUCUGAUAGUAACUGAUCAGUAGUGACGGUAUCCAACCAGAAAGCCACGG
rnacentral:rRNA from 1 species